CCUGUACAUGUGAACAAUGAGUACUUGGGAGAAAAAUAUCAAAAGCUACUCCAGGAAAGAGAUUUAAAUAGGUCUGUACAGAAACUUGCACCCUCAGUGUGAUUACUGGUAUAGUAAACGUGCUGUGAUUGUGGAAAUCCCUGCACCUUAGUUUGCUGAUGGCUGUCAACCAAUCAGAGUCCAGGCUAUUUACAUGGGAAACAGCUAAGGUGCUUGCUGACAUCAUGGACCACUGGCAAUCUUUUCAAGGCUGUUCUAAAGACAUGCACAGUUGAAACGUCUGAAGUUCCUUCACUCCAACCUUUUAAACUGACUUGCUUAAUAACGGUGUGAUGCUAGCAAACCAGGUGCUGACUCUUGCCAAGGCUUUAGGCCUCAGCCAAGCUCUGACAAAUUCAUUGCUAGAAACCAGUCCAGCUCACUUAUUCAUAGAUUCGUAGACUAUAGGACUGGAAGGGACCUUGAGAGGUCAUUGAGUCCAGUCCCCUGCCCUCAUAGCAGGACCAAAUACUGU